AAGAGCUGAAGGCCAGAACCGACUCCUUCAGAAACAAGUAUAAAAUGAGACAGGACUCAAAGUGCUUAAAAUACUUCGGUGACAGGCAACAAAGAAAUGCCUGUUACCAUAAUUGCUUGAAUUAAGUAGAGUCAGGAAAUCUUGAGAACUUUUUAAAAAGUAGAGGUUUGAUGUGUGGGGAGUGUAAGAACAAAAUUCUCUUGGGCCAUGGCCGGAGCCCUGAAUCAGCAGAACUCUUUUCCUUGAAGAAAGUGAAAAGCAGAGGAGGUGCUGGCAGCUGUAAUAUGGCAGCUCUGAAAACCUGAAAGUGAAACUCAUUCCAGUAACUUGAGACUGAUGCUAGUGACUUUCCAUUAGCUAAGCUGAGAGAAACAAUCAAAAAAGAGGCACGGAAGAAGCUGCCUGGUACCUUUUCGUUCCAGUUUUCAGCAGACGGUGCUGAAGUAAAAGAAACAUAUGUCACGUCUUCCCAUUAUUCUGCCUAACUGUCACGGCGAUUUACCCAUGAGCUGACGUGAUAGCCAUAGAGGGAGACGGAGCAAGACCUUUUGCAUAACUCAGGGCUCGAGGAAAUCCUAGACGCAGACGUGAGGGGGCAGCUCGGUGUCUGCCGGUCAGCACCGCGGGGCUCUCCCCGCUGAGAUCAGCUGGUGAGUUCAGUGGCCUGUCUUGACCUCUCCUCACCCAGCUGAAGGAAUGAAACCCUGCUCAGCUGUCCCUGCCAUAUCCCUUACAGCAGGCAACGUCUUUGCUGCAGAGUCAUCUGAAUUGCUGGGUGCUGGGUUGGUGUCCACCCAUAAGAGCUGGUUGGUGUCCACCUGUGGGGCUGGUGUCCACCCCACACAGGGACCCUGGUGCUGCUGUGCCCAUACAAAUGCAGCUCUUGGCAGCUCCAGGUGCAUCACGGGGCUCCCAAGUUUUUGCAGUGAGUGGGUUAUCCUGAAUUCUGCAUUGCAAAGAGCAGAAAAACUGGUGUUGCAUCCCUCCUGGCUUCUAUGAGGGCACAAACUCAGACCAUCAUGCACGUCCCUGCGGACAGGCCACUUGGUGGUAACAACUUGUAUUUACUGGUGACCAGGUCUGGACUGAGGCAGUUGUCUGGAACUGAAUUGCCAGUCCCCAGUGUACUCAAGUCCCCUUUAACCUGUCGGAUGUUCAUCCCACAGGCUUUUUGUCUUUUCAGAAAUCAGUGGCUUAUUGGUGGGGCUGAUCUCUGUUAGUAACACUGCUCUCACGUGGAGGUCACCAGCAUCUCUAACAUCCACGUCUGCUUUACAUAAGCCUUCAAUAUAAAACCACAAUAGCUUUGCAUGCUGAAGGGCAAGUCUUGUUUGUGUUAUGCAGGCAUUACCACAUUUUCAGCUGAUCUUUUAAGUGGUUCCUAAUAAAAUUAUUAGGCGACUGGAAAAUCUUCAGUAACAUUUUUAAAUGCAAUCCAGCUUCACAAUAAUAAACUCAGCUUUUAACAACCCUCGUUUAUAACAAUUCCAACAGCAAGAACUAAUUUUCUCUUUGGUAAUGAGGACUAUUAGAAUGACUGUUCACACAGAGCUGACCUGGAUUCAAUAGUCAUGCUUUUUGCUAUUUUCACAGCAUGCUGUGUUUAGCAUGUAAAAACGUACAGCUUUCUGUCUUUAGAAAUGGUUUAGAAACUUCUCUCUUUAGAAAUUGUUUAAAGGUUGCUAAAAUGAAAGCACAGAAGUAAAAUACAGCGAUGUCCUAUGCAAAUAACAGGUUUAUUCGUUAUUCUGAUCCAGAAAAUUGCUGAACCCCGCUAUAAUGUGUACUUUCACAAAGGGAGCAUUCAUCUCAUUCCCACCGGGGUUUGUUAUGGUGAGAUUACACCACUUCAGCUUUCAGUGUGGGGAAAGGACAUGAUUAUUUUAGUGUUGACAGCAUUUAUCAUUCCACGGGCCUGCUGGCUCUAGCUUGCAGAGCUGGAAGAUAUUGUCUCCUGAAAGCCCCGGCGAAACUCAGAUUACUUCCGAUGUAGCGAGGUGAUCGAGCAGUUCCCACCAAGCCUUGUCCAUCAAAACUGGCAGCGUCCUGCUCCUCACUGCCCCCCGCACAGGGCCAGGGUCACCACGGUCUCUCUGCUGCUCUUCCCCAGUGACCUGCUGGUGGCUCAGGAGUGAGGCCGAGCUGGCUGGGAGCUGCAGGACCAUGCUGGCGCUCCUCAUCCAGGUCUCACCUCCCAUACUUCAGCCAGCUGUGUGCACAUGUCCUUCACUGAGCCUCCAGCAGUUCUCAGGGAAGAGCCCUGCAUGUACCUUCCUUCUGCUGAGCGGGACAUCUCAUCCAGGAAAAGGUAAGUUUGGUCCUAUUGCCCUCUUGUGGCUGCCCAAAAGAGGCUACAGUAGAGUCUCACCGGCAGUCAUUUGCAGAAGUGGCACCUGCUAACAUAACUUUCCUGUAAGUUGAAAGCAGUGCCGGGCCCCUAAGUGUAGAUGUGCAGUGUAAGCUGGUGCACCAGCCAUGGGACCGUGAUGUUUCUGAAAGGGACUUGGGGGUACGGCACUGUGACAGCAGGAGACCAGGCAUGAGGACAUCUCAGACCAAACCUUCCUCCCCUCUUCUUCCACCACCCUUGCCUUUGCCUUGUGCCUAUUUUUCAGCCGCAUGGGAAAACCCCCUUGCUGUGGUUUGGCAGCAUGCCCUACUGCUCUCCCAUUCAAAGGUGGCCACUAAAAACACGCUGGCAGCCCUAGCAGGAAACCCUUUCCUUACCGUGUGUCCUGUACCCCAUAAGUUUACGAUAAGGUGUAUGGGAGUAGCACUUCUCUCCCUGUAGGAUGGUGACGUAUGUGCAGAGCUUGGAAAGGAUGCAUCCAGUGCCUCUGGUGUUGUGACAGGUGUUAAAAGCUGAAAAACCAUGCCCAGGAGGCUACAAAAUAGUUUUAAGAAGAGAAGGGGAUCAUUUUGAAGGGUUUCACAAAAACAAGGAUUAGAAUCAAACUGUGAUGAAAGAGAGCAAAACAAGAAAAUGAACACUGCACCCCUCCCAAAGCCUGAACUGCUGUCCAUCCAUGCAUGAGCAUCCUGGGUUCAAGUGCAACCGAGCUGCUUUCUCUCUGCUGCUCCUUCCAUCAAGCCCUAGUGCUUCUGCUGGUGCUUACACCUAUGGGUAGCCUGAAAAUUUACUCUUAAAAGGCACAGCAAUAAAAAUCAAAGCAGGCUUGUACGCAAGUUAAAUCUUCUGAUAAGGAGAGGUAAUGUUAUUUGUUUUCAGUCAAACGAGGGCAAUAAAAGCCAAGAUGUUUAAUGAAACCCCACCUGGUGUAUAUUGGCCUUGACACAGUAUUUUUAUUCAACAUAGCCUCCACUUAAUGGAAAUCCUUGGCAAACAGCCCGAGCCAGGGCUAUAAUGUUUGUAAAAUAGCUGUUGCUUUCAGCGUGAUUUUCCCCAGCUAAAGCCAUGUGAAUAAAAAAGCGAAGAUUCAGUAACAGUGUAAUUGUGUCACAUAAAGGCCACCCCGGGGGAAGCCAUCUGAAGUUUUAAUGUUUUAAAAUGAGUACUGAAUUCACUCAUCUUUGGUAACGAAGGCAGCUCCCGCUCCCGGGCGCAGCUGUGCGAGCGCACCGAAGGGCUGCCGAAGGAGAGCAGAACGAACGCCAUUUGCAAGUCAAGUGCCUUUAGACCCCAGAUGCUGCUGCCUCAUAGCCGCUUGCCUGCAGUUCUGUGGCCUUGACAAAGAAUAAAAGUUUCCCCUCCAGCACCAGCGCUCACCUGUGACCACCGAAGGCCUGGCUCCGAUCUCUCGCUAACGCGGGUGAUGGCCCUCCUCAAGGCAGCAGAGGAGCAGGUUGGCGCCAAGCCAGUGAAAUGACACCAAGUCAGGCUGGAUUUGAAAAGGGGCCGUCACGUACUGCUUGCUAAAAUAAACACAUCCAGCUUUGGUAGGACAGAGCUGGAGCUUCAGAGCCUCCCAAGCUUGUCCUCAGGGUCUGCCCACACCUGGGCUCUUGGUCUACCGUCCUCUUGGUGGUCAGGAGCACCCCAGGGCCACCUCACGCUUUCUGGGCUCUUGGUCUACUCCUCUUCCAUUUGGUGCUCGACCAUAAACAGCUGCAGGUAGCACACACCAUAUAUAUAUAGUUUAUGAAGAAAUGAACUGUUUUUCAUCAACAGCACAGCCACCCUCUUGCUGUGUCUCCAGUUACUGCUGUUCCCUUGGGUCUCCAGACGUUAACCCAGCCUCUGUGUCCAGUCCUGGAUGACAUCUCAGUUUGUAACUCUUCUGACCCUAACAACCCUUUCUGGAAGCCACAGAACCAGUUAAGCUCUCAGAAUAACACCCUACAGCAUUAAUUUCCAUUCAUUAGCAUUUUUUUUAUUGGCUGUUUUUACCGACCACUACUCAUUCAGGUAUCAGUACUCAGUCUCAAGGUGAGCACCAGCACCUUUCAGUAUGUAGACAGGGCUUACGGUGGGUCCUGGGAGAGGCAAGCAUACGUGCUGAGGGGAAAAUAGGCUACCUACCGAGCCAUGUCACUCUCUCAAGUAAAGGCAGAGGGUAACAGCAUUUCCUAGCUAACCUCAGGAGUAGUCUCCAUAGAGAUCAGCAGGCUAAGCAUGAGGUGGAAUUUGUCUGAGAGGAAAAUCUCUCUGAGUGGGGAUUUUGGUGAAGAGAAGCUUUCAGUCACCUCCUCUGUGAUGCUGCCUGUGUAUGGCUGCCUUGCUACGCCCAGCUGCUUCACUGCUUUACUACUCAAAGCUGGCAAAUUUGGCAUAUUUUUAGGGGAUGCUUACCUUAGGGGAUGCUUACCAUAGGGCAUGCUUUGUGAUCAUCUGGCCUCAGUCAUACCCAUAGCUGAGAGAUUUUAACAUGACUUUAAGAAAAACAUGGAGCUCAGAUACUGAAGUUUUAAGCUACCAAAAGUAGUAAGGCAUUUAUUUUCAGGGGAAAGUUGUUAUAUUGAACUUAAAAAGGACAGAAGCUGCUGUCUGUCAGACAGGCCAGGCUUCCCCAAGCGUGCCUGGAGCAUCAGAUGAUGUGGAGGGGGAACAACUGGCGUUUUCUGCAGCAGUGGUUAGAGCCCGUGUGUGAUUUUGUUGUAUCCUUUUGAACAUGAGCUCUGCGUGAUACAGAGCAUUUAAUGAGGAUUCAUGGGCCACCAUGGACCAAAAGAUUACUGAUGAGGAAUCCGGAGAUAGGCAAUUAAUGUUUUAUUAUCUGUGCUCUUAAGAUAAUGGCUGUGUCUUCUUCAUACUUGUACAGCUCCUAACAUAAUGGGGUCUUCUUUCUCUCUGUGACACUUUUUCCUUGUUCCUUUUUCACAACCUCCCCUCAAUAACCCAGCCAAAUGCAAAUAGCUAAGAGAAAAGUGACCUUUCCCCUGAUAUCCAUCUGUGCAUGGAGGGUGUCAGCAGUGCCUGGCGUCCUCUUUCAGCUGAGUUCAGUGGGAGCUGUUCAGCUGGUUUCACAAGAAGCAAAAGGAGGCUCUUUGGUCAGCCCGAAAGUCCAUCCUUUCCACACUGGACAGGAACUGAGGGGUCGCCAUUUGGUGGACGCGAGGACCUGUCCUCCCUGGCAGCUUCCACCAGGCCCUGGAUCUGCCACUGGCCUUGUAUGUACACAGCAAAGCAAGAGGGCACUUGGCCACCCCUGGCUCAUGGGUCUUCUUCAUUCUCCUGACAUGUUGGAAAGGGUAAAGACAGAUCCCUCUCCCUCAACUCUAGUUGUGUUUUUCUGCUUCUGAGGAACAGAUUCACGAGGUGACCCCAGGCAUAUGCUUGGAUGAGUGAGACGUCAAAGGUGGAGUUUGCCACCACAGUGACCCUCUCCUGGUAGCCCAAACCAUUACUGAUCCACACCAAAUGCUACGAGUGAGGCACAGAUACAUUUCAGGAUGCACUUGGAGGUCCGGGCCAGCCAAGCUUUCCAUGUUGCAAGUGCUGCGUACUCAUGCUUCUCCCAUUCCUGCUGCAGAGCCCCGUGCGAAGGUUAUCCUAAAAUCGCUUUGGUUGGGUCACUUCACAAUUUGAACACAGUAACUCCUGCCUGGGCAUGUGCCCUGCCCUUCUCUAUCCAUGAGGGGCAUAUUAGUGCUAAAAAUCCUUGAGUUAUUUGUACUUCUUAGCCCCA